UACGUAGGGCGCAAGCGUUGUCCGGAAUUAUUGGGCGUAAAGAGCUCGUAGGCGGCCUGUUACGUCUGCUGUGAAAUCCCGGGGCUUAACCCCGGGCGUGCAGUGGAUACGGGCAGGCUGGAGGCAGGCAGGGGAGAACGGAAUUCCCGGUGUAGCGGUGGAAUGCGCAGAUAUCAGGAGGAACACCGGUGGCGAAGGCGGGUCUCUGGGCCGUUACUGACGCUGAGGAGCGAAAGCGUGGGGAGCGAACAGG
rnacentral:rRNA from 1 species